GAUGAACGCUGGCGGCGUGCCUAAUACAUGCAAGUCGAGCGAACAGAUGAGGAGCUUGCUCCUCUGACGUUAGCAGCGGACGGGUGAGUAACACGUGGAUAACCUACCUAUAAGACUGGGAUAACUUCGGGAAACCGGAGCUAAUACCGGAUAAUAUAUUGAACCGCAUGGUUCAAUAGUGAAAGACGGUUUUGCUGUCACUUAUAGAUGGAUCCGCGCCGCAUUAGCUAGUUGGUAAGGUAACGGCUUACCAAGGCAACGAUGCGUAGCCGACCUGAGAGGGUGAUCGGCCACACUGGAACUGAGACACGGUCCAGACUCCUAAGGGAGGCAGCAGUAGGGAAUCUUCCGCAAUGGGCGAAAGCCUGACGGAGCAACGCCGCGUGAGUGAUGAAGGUCUUCGGCUCGUAAAACUAUGUUAUUAGGGAAGAACAAAUGUGUAAGUAACUAUGCACGUCUUGACGGUACCUAAUCAGAAAGCCACGGCUAACUACGUG
rnacentral:rRNA from 1 species